rnacentral:rRNA from 1 species
GAUGAACGCUGGCGGCGUGCUUAACACAUGCAAGUCGAACGGUGAAGCAGAGCUUGCUCUGUGGAUCAGUGGCGAACGGGUGAGUAACACGUGAGCAACCUGCCCCUGACUCUGGGAUAAGCGCUGGAAACGGCGUCUAAUACUGGAUAUGAGCUGCGACCGCAUGGUCAGCAGUUGGAAAGAUUUUUCGGUAUGGGAUAGGCUCACGGCCUAUCGGCUUGUUGGUGAGGUAAUGGCUCACCAAGGCGUCGCCGGGUAGCCGGCCUGAGAGGGUGACCGGGCACACUGGGACAGAGACGCGGCCCAGACUCCUACGGGAGGCAGGAGUGGGGAAUAGUGCAAAAUGGCGAAAGCCUGAUGCAGCAACGCCGCGUGAGGGAUGACGGCCUUCGGGUUGUAAACCUCUUUUAGCAGGGAAGAAGCGAAAGUGACGGUACCUGCAGAAAAAGCGCCGGCUAACUACGUG